UGACCAAGAUCGGUAGGUGAGGGGUACUC
rnacentral:sRNA from 1 species